rnacentral:rRNA from 1 species
UACGUAGGGCGCGAGCGUUGUCCGGAAUUAUUGGGCGUAAAGAGCUCGUAGGCGGCCUGUUGCGUCCGCUGUGAAAUCCCAGGGCUUAACCCUGGGCGUGCAGUGGAUACGGGCAGGCUGGAGGCAGGCAGGGGAGAACGGAAUUCCCGGUGUAGCGGUGAAAUGCGCAGAUAUCAGGAGGAACACCGGUGGCGAAGGCGGGUCUCUGGGCAGUAACUGACGCUGAGGAGCGAAAGCGUGGGGAGCGAACAGG